GACGUAGGGCGCGAGCGUUGUCCGGAUUUAUUGGGCGUAAAGAGCUCGUAGGCGGCUUGUCGCGUCGUUCGUGAAAACCCGCGGCUCAACCGCGGGCCUGCGGCCGAUACGGGCAGGCUAGAGUUCGGUAGGGGAGACUGGAAUUCCUGGUGUAGCGGUGAAAUGCGCAGAUAUCAGGAGGAACACCGAUGGCGAAGGCAGGUCUCUGGGCCGAUACUGACGCUGAGGAGCGAAAGCGUGGGGAGCGAACAGG
rnacentral:rRNA from 1 species